rnacentral:rRNA from 1 species
CACGUAGGGUGCGAGCGUUGUCCGGAAUUAUUGGGCGUAAAGAGCUCGUAGGCGGUCUGUCGCGUCGGCUGUGAAAACCCGGGGCUCAACCCCGGGCCUGCAGUCGAUACGGGCAGACUAGAGUGCGGUAGGGGAGACUGGAAUUCCUGGUGUAGCGGUGAAAUGCGCAGAUAUCAGGAGGAACACCGGUGGCGAAGGCGGGUCUCUGGGCCGUAACUGACGCUGAGGAGCGAAAGCGUGGGGGAGCGAACAGG